rnacentral:rRNA from 1 species
CCUACGGGUGGCAGCAGUGAGGAAUAUUGGUCAAUGGACGCAAGCCUGAACCAGCCAUGUAGCGUGAGGGAUGAAGGCCCUAUGGGUUGUAAACUCUUUUUAUAUGGGAGUAAGCGGUUAUAUGAGUAGCCUUUUGUAUGUACGUUAUGAGUAAAGAACGGCCAAGUCAGCGCCAGCCGCCGCGGUAAUACGGAGGGUACGGGCGUUAUCCGGAUUUAUUGGGCUUAAAGGGAGCGUAGGUGGAUUGUUAAGUCGGGUGUGAAAUGUACGGGCUCAACCCGGGAAUUGCAGUGGAAACUGGCAGGCUAGAGUCCUGUAGAGGUGGGCGGAAUUCGAGGUGUAGCGGUGAAAUGCUUAGAGAUCACGAAGAACACCGAUUGCGAAGGCAGCUCCCUGGAC